rnacentral:rRNA from 1 species
UACGUAGGGUGCAAGCGUUGUCCGGAAUUAUUGGGCGUAAAGAGCUCGUAGGCGGUUUUGUCGCGUCUGCUGUGAAAACCCGAGGCUCAACCUCGGGCCUGCAGUGGGUACGGGCAGACUAGAGUGCGGUAGGGGGAGAUUGGAAUUCCUGGUGUAGCGGUGGAAUGCGCAGAUAUCAGGAGGAACACCAAUGGCGAAGGCAGAUCUCUGGGCCGUAACUGACGCUGAGGUACGAAAGCGUGGGGAGCAAACAGG